UAGGGAAUCUUCCGCAAUGGGCGAAAGCCUGACGGAGCAACGCCGCGUGAGUGAUGAAGGUCUUCGGAUCGUAAAACUCUGUUAUUAGGGAAGAACAAAUGUGUAAGUAACUAUGCACGUCUUGACGGUACCUAAUCAGAAAGCCACGGCUAACUACGUGCCAGCAGCCGCGGUAAUACGUAGGUGGCAAGCGUUAUCCGGAAUUAUUGGGCGUAAAGCGCGCGUAGGCGGUUUUUUAAGUCUGAUGUGAAAGCCCACGGCUCAACCGUGGAGGGUCAUUGGAAACUGGAAAACUUGAGUGCAGAAGAGGAAAGUGGAAUUCCAGGUGUAGCGGUGAAAUGCGCAGAGAUAUGGAGGAACACCGGUGGCGAAAGCGGCUCUCUGGUCUGUAACUGACGCUGAGGCUCGAAAGCGUGGGGAGCGAACAGG
rnacentral:rRNA from 1 species